AGCACCCGCGGUAAUUCCAGCUCCAAUAGCGUAUAUUAAAGUUGUUGCAGUUAAAAAGCUCGUAGUUGAAUUUCGGGGUCAGUAGGUCGGUCGUGCCACUGGUAUGAACUGGUUUUACUGAUUCCUCCCUCUUGAAGAACUGUAAUGCCAUUAAUUUGGUGUUGCAGGGAAUCAGGACUGUUACUUUGAAAAAAUUAGAGUGUUUAAAGCAGGCUUUAGCUUGAAUACAUUAGCAUGGAAUAAUGAAAUAGGACGUUUGAUCCUAUUUUGUUGGUUUCUAGGAUUGACGUAAUGAUUAAUAGGGAUAGUUGGGGGCAUUAGUAUUCAAUUGUCAGAGGUGAAAUUCUUGGAUUUAUUGAAGACUAACUACUGCGAAAGCAUGUAGCCAAGGAUGUUUUCAUUAAUCAAGAACGAAAGUUAGGGGAUCGAAGACGAUCAGAUACCGUACGUAGUCUUAACCAUAAACUAUGCCGACUAGGGAUCGGAUGAUGUUAAUUUUUUAAUGACUCA
rnacentral:rRNA from 1 species